AUUGAACGCUGGCGGCAGGCCUAACACAUGCAAGUCGAACGAGUGGCGGACGGGUGAGUAAUGUCUGGGAAACUGCCUGAUGGAGGGGGAUAACUACUGGAAACGGUAGCUAAUACCGCAUACCAUCAGAUGUGCCCAGUUGGGAUUAGCUAGUAGGUGGGGUAAUGGCUAACCUAGGCGACGAUCCCUAGCUGGUCUGAGAGGAUGACCGGCAACAUGGGAACUGGGACACGGUCCAGACUCCUACGGGAGGCAGCAGUGGGGAAUAUUGCACAAUGGGCGCAAGCCUGAUGCAGCCAGGCCGCGUGUGUGAAGAAGGCCUUCGGGUUGUAAAGCACUUUCAGCGAGGAGGCGUUACUCGCAGAAGAAGCACCGGCUAACUCCGUGCCAGCAGCCGCGGUAAUAC
rnacentral:rRNA from 1 species